rnacentral:lncRNA from 1 species
UCAUAGUUGGGAAGCAGGGAGUGCUGUUGGCUGGCCGUGGAUACAGAGACGGCCCUUUCCCCUACAGAGAGGGAAGUGGUCCCAACCAGCGAGAAGCCCUGGCUUGGAAUGAACACUUCCAUUAGGGAGAAACUGGGCCACCUGCACCGGCCCUGUCACGGUUUCCCCACACCUGGGAGGUCGGUCUCUGUUGGUACUGGUUCUCCUGAGAGAUUUGUAACACCAUACUUCAUGACCCAGGGUGAAGGAACUUCCUAUACUGUCCCCACUUCCAAGAAUGAAGACAGCCUUCUGGCCUAAAAACAUGGUGAGACAGGGCUGUUCCUCACUCUGAAAUGGGACAGAAGGAUCCAGGCCAAGGGAAGGGAGGGGAAACUUCUGCAUCACAUCUCUCCAUUCUGCAUCCCUGACCCCAUCAGAGAACACUACUGAGACAGGCCACGUCCCUCAGCUCUGAGCUUCUCAGACCACCCACUGGUAGCUGCUACCCCUGCAGCCUGCGGGCUCUGGGGACAGGACUGAGGGCCAGGCCACCAGCUAGGAGCCCAGGCCAGGGAGGGCACAGGCGGCUGCUGCAACCUGAACACUCG